rnacentral:rRNA from 1 species
GCAAAGGUCGCUCGCGUCGUGUGGUUCGACGCGAUACCAAUCCGACGCCCUUAAGUGUAACAGGGUGCUCGAAUGAACGCGAACGACGUUCGGUCGGGGACAUCGAACCCCUGCCGACACGGACCAGGCGGGACCGACUCGCCAACGAAACUCGAAGCCUUUAUGGUGGCUUCGAGACAACAAUCAGGUCCGAAGAAAUGAGGAUUCCACCCCUGCGGUCCGCCGUCAAGAUGGGAUCUGAUGUUAGCCCUGAUAGUUCGGUGACACUCGGUCGACGGGUGUCCUCGAACACCCUUCGAUAGCGACCACACCCAUUAUAUGGGUGUGAUCCCGCCUAACCCCCCGGCAUUGGUGCCGGGAUACAUUCCGGUUGAUCCUAGGCCGGAGGCCAUUGCUAUCGGAGUCCGAUUUAGCCAUGCUAGUCGCACGGGCUUAGACCCGUGGCAUAUGACUCAUGAACACGUGGCCAAACUACCCUACAGACCGCGAUAACC